GCCUCAUUAGCUCAGCUGGUAGAGCACCUGACUCUUAAUCAGGGUGUCGCGCGUUCGAGCCGCGCAUGGGGUACCA
rnacentral:tRNA from 1 species